rnacentral:rRNA from 1 species
UACGUAGGGGGCUAGCGUUGUCCGGAAUGAUUGGGCGUAAAGCGUCUGCAGGUGGCAGUUCAAGUCUGCUGUCAAAGACCGGGGCUUAACUUCGGAAAGGCAGUGGAAACUGAACAGCUAGAGUAUGGUAGGGGCAGAGGGAAUUCCUGGUGUAGCGGUGAGAUGCGUAGAGAUCAGGAAGAACAUCGGUGGCGAAGGCGCUCUGCUGGACCAUAACUGACACUCAGGGACGAAAGCUAGGGGAGCGAAUGGG